rnacentral:tRNA from 1 species
GGUGGCACAGUGGUUAAAGCGCUUGGCUACUAACCAAAAGGUAAGUGGUUAGAAUCCACUAGCCACCC